rnacentral:rRNA from 1 species
CAGCAGUGGGGAAUUUUGGACAAUGGGGGCAACCCUGAUCCAGCCAUGCCGCGUGAGUGAAGAAGGCCUUCGGGUUGUAAAGCUCUUUCGUGAGGGAAGAAACGGUUCAGGCUAAUACUCUGAAUUACUGACUGUACCUCAAGAAGAAGCACCGGCUAACUACGUA